UCGCGGCUAUCAUGCAGUUGAGCGAUGAAGAUUGGUGCUUGCACCAAUUUGAAGAGCAGCGAACGGGUGGGUAACGCGUGGGGAAUCUGCCUUUGAGCGGGGGACAACAUUUGGAAACGAAUGCUAAUACCGCAUAACAACUUUAAACAUAAGUUUUAAGUUUGAAAGAUGCAAUUGCAUCACUCAAAGAUGAUCCCGCGUUGUAUUAGCUAGUUGGUGAGGUAAAGGCUCACCAAGGCGAUGAUACAUAGCCGACCUGAGAGGGUGAUCGGCCACAUUGGGACUGAGACACGGCCCAAACUCCUACGGGAGGCAGCAGUAGGGAAUCUUCGGCAAUGGACGAAAGUCUGACCGAGCAACGCCGCGUGAGUGAAGAAGGUUUUCGGAUCGUAAAACUCUGUUGGUAGAGAAGAACGUUGGUGAGAGUGGAAAGCUCAUCAAGUGACGGUAACUACCCAGAAAGGGACGGCUAACUACGUGCCAGCAGCCGCGGUAAUACGUAGGUCCCGAGCGUUGUCCGGAUUUAUUGGGCGUAAAGCGAGCGCAGGUGGUUUAUUAAGUCUGGUGUAAAAGGCAGUGGCUCAACCAUUGUAUGCAUUGGAAACUGGUAGACUUGAGUGCAGGAGAGGAGAGUGGAAUUCCAUGUGUAGCGGUGAAAUGCGUAGAUAUAUGGAGGAACACCGGUGGCGAAAGCGGCUCUCUGGCCUGUAACUGACACUGAGGCUCGAAAGCGUGGGGAGCAAACAGGAUUAGAUACCCUGGUAGUCCACGCCGUAAACGAUGAGUGCUAGAUGUAGGGAGCUAUAAGUUCUCUGUAUCGCAGUAGUCCACGCUGUAAACGGUGGGUACUAGGUGUGGGGUCCAUUCCACGGGUUC
rnacentral:rRNA from 1 species